rnacentral:rRNA from 1 species
UGGGGAAUAUUGGACAAUGGGGGCAACCCUGAUCCAGCAAUUCUGUGUGCACGAAGAAGGUUUUCGGAUUGUAAAGUGCUUUCAGCAGGGAAGAAAAAAAUGACGGUACCUGCAGAAGAAGCGACGGCUAAAUACGUGCCAGCAGCCGCGGUAAUACGUAUGUCGCAAGCGUUAUCCGGAAUUAUUGGGCAUAAAGUGCAUCUAGGCGGCCAGAUAAGUCUGGGGUGAAAACUUGCGGCUCAACCGCAAGCCUGCCCUGGAAACUAUGUGGCUAGAGUACUGGAGAGGUGGACGGAACUGCACGAGUAGAGGUGAAAUUCGUAGAUAUGUGCAGGAAUGCCGAUGAUGAAGAUAGUUCACUGGACGGUAACUGACGCUGAAGUGCGAAAGCUAGGGGAGCAAACAGGAUUAGAUACCCUGGUAGUCCUAGCUGUAAACGAUGAUUACUGGGUGUGGGCAUGAAGAGUGUCCGUGCCGAAGCUAAUGCGAUAAGUAAUCCGCCUGGGGAGUACGGCCGCAAGGCGUG